rnacentral:pre_miRNA from 1 species
UCUUCAUUUCACGCUCCCUCUCACCAGUCAGAGAGGCGAGAGAGAGAGUGUGAAAUGAAGAGA